rnacentral:rRNA from 1 species
GCCGGCAGCUAGCUCUCUGCAACUCUCACAUGGUCGCCCACUGAAGCUAAGCAGGGCUGCGCCUGGUCAGUACCUAAAUGGGAGACCACAUUGGAAAAGCUAGGUUGCUGCCGGAA